UCCUACGGGGCGCAGCAGUGAGGAAUAUUGGUCAAUGGGCGCAAGCCUGAACCAGCCAAGUCGCGUGAGGGAAGACGGCCCUACGGGUUGUAAACCUCUUUUGCCGGGGAGCAAGCCUGAGCACGUGUGCCCAGGCGGAGAGUACCCGGAGAAAAAGCAUCGGCUAACUCCGUGCCAGCAGCCGCGGUAAUACGGAGGAUGCGAGCGUUAUCCGGAAUGAUUGGGCGUAAAGGGUGCGUAGGCGGCCUGCUAAGUCUGGAGUGAAAGGUACCGGCUCAACCGGUA
rnacentral:rRNA from 1 species